rnacentral:misc_RNA from 1 species
GGUUUGUUGUUACCCUUCUUCAUAAACAAAACCACUAAGGAUAUUGUUUUCAACUGCAGGUUUCUGAAGAUUGUUGGUGCCCACAUUUUGAUGUGUUUUUGUUUGUUUUGACUUGUUCAUAUGCUAUGUCUCUGGGUCACUUGCGCUUUUAUAUUUUAAAUGUUACUCUUGUUCUGAAGUGGCUGAGCAAUUGGUCUCUGUUUGCACAAAGUUUCAAUUAACAAGGUCACUAGUUCAGCCUUCUAAAUGGGCUGGUUCUGCUUUGUGUUGCCUAGCCAGGUAGCCGUACCUGUGAGCAACAAGAAAUUAGAGAAGCACAUGAAAACAAUAGACAUACCCAUUCAAACAUAAAUCAAUUAAUAAAAGUUAAGGUAGAUGCAGUUUUGCUGAUGAUUGUCUGCUAGUUCUCUUGACCAACCAAAAUUAAUACUCUCUUUUCAUUUAAAGGUUGAGGAAAUCAUUUUGAGAGUGUCCAGAAUGAAAUAGUUAAAGGCAAGGGAAAAGUUGAAUUUUAUCCAGAAGGUGUUUGAUGUGGU